rnacentral:rRNA from 1 species
GUAAUGGCGAACGAACAGGGAUCAGCUUGGGUUGGAAACCGGGGCUUCUGCCUUGGAUUGUGGCCUUUAGACAUACUACCAACGGCGGCGCGAGCGUAAGCCUCUUGGAACAGAGCGUCUACGUGGGUGAGAAUCCUGUGUUUCGCUUGAUGCCCGCCGUGCACGGUACUUGCUCUCAGAGUCACGCUCCUCGGAAUUGGAGCGUAAAUUGGGUGGUAAAUUUCAUCUAAAGCUAAAUACAGGCUCGAGACCGAUAGCAAACAAGUACCAUGAGGGAAAGAUGAAAAGGACUUUGAAAAGAGAGUUAAAAGUGCUUGAAAUCGCUGAACUGGAAGCGAAUGGAACUAGUGCUCUGGUUGAGAGUGCUGUAAAUGGCUGCGACAUCUGGGCUCUGGAACGCAAGUCCUUUGUCUGGCUUGAAGUAGUCGCUUGCAAUGUGUCUCAGCUUGAACAUCAACUUCUAUGCAUACGUGAGGAUGGCCCUUGGCUCAUGCUGUGUUGCUGUGGCGAUACUCUUGUGCUUCUGGGGAUUCAGGUGUGUGUGGAUUGUUGAUCAAUUAGUUCCAUUCGACCCGUCUUGAAACACGGACCAAGGAGUCUAGCACUUGUGCAAGUUCUCAGGUGUCAAACCUCUGUGCGCAAUGAAGGUGACUGCUGGGAUUUUUUGCACCAGCAACCGACCAAUCAAUUGGGAGAAGUUUGAGUAAGAGCAUGUGUGUUAGGACCCGAAA